GUGUACGUCGUCUGCUCGCUUAUUCCACAGUGCUCAGGGCCAAAACGUCAGACAUUUCGUUCGUUCACCUUGAUCGUUAGUUACAGACAAGUUGGUCAUGGGAUUUUAUUUCUACAUAUGCUAAACAGUGAAAGAAACUGAAUCAGUAAUUGCGAAAAUGCCGUUUCUCAAUAAGUUUUCUCUUGUUUCUCGGUUGCCCACCUGGGCUGUACCUGUACGUUGGUCACUUCACGCGUCAAGAUUUGUAUUUUUCUUCAUUUAAACAGAUAACCAGUGGUACCAGUGGCAUUCUACAAAUUACGACUGACGGAUUGUGUAAGAAAGAUCAUGUAAGGACAGGAAACUUCCAGCAGAGCUAUAGAUGAUUCUAUCUCUAUAGAUACAUAAAAGGCAAAAUUGUAACACUCCAGGUGAAAUUGAGCUCUUUGAAAUUGGACAACAACCAUGCCAAGGAUAAAUUCCUCUUUUUCCUGUACCGGCUGUACAUUUUGUAAGAAACACUUCAGAACUAUUCAGGAUUAUCAGUAAAGUAUGAGCUUCUUUGUUGCUGCCCAACAUACACAUGGAUUUGAUGCAGCAAGCUAAGGGCUUCAACUCUUGUUUAGUGUUUUAUGUUCGCGUAGUUGCUGUCCGAUGUGGCACGUUGUUGAAGCCUCUGCUGGUGAAAGAUCUUUCAAGUUCAAUUGGCCGUUCCUUGGUGCUGAUGUUGUGUUACCGAAGUUGCAUCAUAUUUUGUUAAAUUGUCAUCGUGACUAUUGCAGUUUACCUUUUAUAAGUUCAGAAGCAACAAAAACAAAUAUGGGAUGUUAUGUCAAACAAAUAAUAAACAUGUUUUUGGGGUUGGGAAAGGAAAAUGGUGGAUGUUGGAGGGGGGGAGGGAGGAUAUUUCAAGUUUGGAUAAAAAUUCAGUUAAUCUAUAACCCUAUAAACGUAUCCCUACCAAUUAAUCUCCAAACCCCACAAACAUAUACAUUCCAAUCCUUCAAACCCCGAAAACAUACACCUACUACCAACCCUUAGAUCUAUACCCUUAACCCUAUAAACCAAUGUUAAACCUUAACCAUGUAAUAUCUGUAAUAAAUAAAAAAAAGCACUUA